GAUGAACGCUGGCGGCGUGCCUAAUACAUGCAAGUCGAGCGAACAGACGAGGAGCUUGCUCCUCUGACGUUAGCGGCGGACGGGUGAGUAACACGUGGAUAACCUACCUAUAAGACUGGGUUAACUUCGGGAAACCGGAGCUAAUACCGGAUAAUAUAUUGAACCGCAUGGUUCAAUAGUGAAAGACGGUUUUGCUGUCACUUAUAGAUGGAUCCGCGCCGCAUUAGCUAGUUGGUAAGGUAACGGCUUACCAAGGCAACGAUGCGUAGCCGACCUGAGAGGGUGAUCGGCCACACUGGAACUGAGACACGGUCCAGACUCCUACGGGAGGCAGCAGUAGGGAAUCUUCCGCAAUGGGCGAAAGCUUGACGGAGCAACGCCGCGUGAGUGAAGAAGGUCUUCGGAUCGUAAAACUCUGUUAUUAGGGAAGAACAAAUGUGUAAGUAACUAUGCACGUCUUGACGGUACCUAAUCAGAAAGCCACGGCUAACUACGUG
rnacentral:rRNA from 1 species